CAGACAUAUGUAGCAAAUGACUCAGUCCUGGGUACUUCUCUGAAUGAAACAAAAACUUACAUUCAUUAAAAAAAAAAAAAGACUGAACUCGGGGGCAGCUCUUGGGUCUUCUGUGUGUCCUACUUAAUUCAUGCCGGCUCUACGAGUAAGCAACCAUGUCUAAGGGACCUGCGGUGGUAUUGAUCUUGGCACCACCUACUCUUGUGGGGGUGUCUUCUAGCAUGGAAAAGUAGAGAUAAUUGCUAAUGAUCAGGGAGACCAAACCACUCCAAGUUAUGUUGCCUUUACUGACACCGAACGAUUGAUUGGUGAUGCUGCAAAAAAUCAAGUUGCAAUGAACCCCAUACACACAGUUUUUGAUGCCAAGCGUCUGAUUGGAUGCAGGUUUGAUGAUGCUGUUAUCCAGUCUGAUAUGAAGCAUUGGCCUUUCAUGGUGGUGAAUGAUGCAGCCAGGCCUAAGGUCCAAGUAGAAUACAAAGGAGAGACAAAAAGUUUCUAUCCAGAGGAAGUGUCAUCCAUGGUUCUGACAAAGAUGAAGGAAAUUGCAGAAGCCUAUCUUGGAAAGACUGUUACCAAUGCUAUGGUCACAGUACCAGCUUACUUAAAUGAUUCUCAGUGUCAGGCUACCAAAGAUGCUGGAACUAUUGCUGGUCUCAACGUUCUUAGGAUUAUAAACGAGCCAACUGCUGCUGCUGUUGCUUAUGGCUUAGACAAAAAGGUUGGAGCUGAAAGAAAUGUAAAUGUGCUAAUCUUUGACCUUGGAGGUGGCACUUUUGAUGUGUCAAUCCUCACUGUUGAGAAUGGAAUCUUUGAGGUCAAAUCUACAGCUGGAAAUACUCACUUGGGUGGCGAAGACUUUGACAACCAAAUGGUCAACCAUUUUAUUGCUGAGUUUAAGCGCAAACAUAAGAAGGACGUCAGUGAGAAUAAAAGAGCUGUCCAUCGCCUUUGUACUGCUUGCGAACGUGCUAAGUGUACUCUUAUCUUCCAGCACCCAGGCCAGUAUUGAGAUUGAUUCCCUUUAUACCUACUUCUAUACCUCCAUUACCCGUGUCUGAUUUGAAGAAUUGAAUACUGAUCUGUUCUGUGGCACCCUGGACCCUGUAGAGAAAGCCCUUCAAGAUGCCAAACUAGACAAGUCACAGAUUCAUGACAUUGUCCUGGUUGGUGGUUCUACCCGUAUCCCCAAGAUUUAAAAGCUCCUCCAAGACUUCUUCACUGGAAAAGAACUGAAUAAGAGCAUCAACCCCGAUGAGGCUGUUGCUUACGAUGCAGCUGUCCAGGCAGCCAAACUAUCUGGUGACAGAUCCGAGAAUGUUCAGGAUUUGCUACUAUUGGAUGUUACUCCUCUUUCUCUGGGUAUUGAGACUGCUGGGGGAGUUAUGACUGUGCUCAUUAAGCGCAAUACUACUAUUCCAACCAAGCAGACACAGACCUUCACUACCUACUCUGACAGCCAGCCAGCUGUGCUCAUCCAGGUUUAUGAAGGUGAGCGUGCCAUGACCAAGGAUAACAACUUGCUUGGCAAGUUUGAACUUACAGAGGGCAUGCCAGGAGGAAUGCCUGGGGGCUUCCCUGGUGGUGGUGCUCCUCCUUCUGAUGGUGCUUCAUCUGGCCCCACCAUUGAAGAGGUUAAGCCAACCUAAGUGUAGAUGUAGCAUUGUUCUGCACAGUAAAAUGUUGAAGGAUCUAAAUUUGUAGCAAAUUAUGUGGCAGAUUUAAAGUUGGGCUGCUAUAGUGAAUUACUGGGCAUUUUCAAUACUUGAAUAUGGAACAUGUGCACAGGGGAAGGAAAUAACAUUGCACUGUAAAAGCACUGUAUUGUAAGUGGAAAA